GCGGGUGUAGUUUAGUGGUAAAAACCACAGCCUUCCAAGCUGUUGUCGCGAGUUCGAUUCUCGUCACCCGCU
rnacentral:tRNA from 1 species